CAAUAGCGUAUAUUAAAGUUGUUGCGGUUAAAAAGCUCGUAGUUGGAUUUCUGUUGGGAACGACCGGUCCGCCCAUUGGGUGUGUAUCUGGCUUGUUCUCGGCAUCUUCUUGGUGAACGUUGCUGCACUUGACUGUGUGGAGCGCUACCCAGGACUUUUACUUUGAGGAAAUUAGAGUGUUUCAAGCAGGCAUAUGCCUUGAAUACAUCAGCAUGGAAUAAUAAGAUAGGACCUCGGUUCUAUUUUGUUGGUUUCUAGAGCUGAGGUAAUGAUUAAUAGGGAUAGUUGGGGGCAUUCGUAUUUAACUGUCAGAGGUGAAAUUCUUGGAUUUGUUAGAGACGGACUACUGCGAAAGCAUUUGCCAAGGAUGUUUUCAUUGA
rnacentral:rRNA from 1 species